rnacentral:rRNA from 1 species
AUUGAACGCUGGCGGCAGGCCUAACACAUGCAAGUCGAGCGAGCGGCGGACGGGUGAGUAAUGUCUGGGAAACUGCCUGAUGGAGGGGGUUAACUACUGGAAACGGUAGCUAAUACCGCAUACCAUCGGAUGUGCCCAGAUGGGCUUAGCUAGUAGGUGGGGUAACGGCUCACCUAGGCGACGAUCCCUAGAUGGUCUGAGCGGAUGACCAGCCACACUGGAACGGAGACACGGUCCAGACGCCUACGGGAGGAAGCAGGGGGGAAUAUUGCACAAUGGGCGCAAGCCUGAUGCAGCCAUGCCGCGUGUGUGAAGAAGGCCUUCGGGUUGUAAAGCACUUUCAGCGGGGAGGCGUUACCCGCAGAAGAAGCACCGGCUAACUCCGUGCCAGCAGCCGCGGUAAUAC